CACCUAUAUGGGGAGACCAGUGCCUCAACCCCGACCCACCCUUCCCAACCUCUUGGUCACUGGGACUCAGGCUUCCUUCUCUGAAACGUUGAUCACCUCCCUGCUCAGCUUCCCUCGGGCACAGAGAGUUUGUCCUGUACAGUGAAAUCCUCAAUUACAGAUCUCCUGUCCGCUAUUGUUUUUCUUUGUUUCCUGGGUGCUGGGAGGGUUGGAGCACAGUGGUUUCCGGGCCAGGCUGCCAGGGUGCAGCCGUCACUCCGCACUUGCUGCUGUGUUACCAGGAGGUAGCGUGGCCUCCCCUCUCUCUCAGUUACCUGAUCUGUAAAAUGGGCUUGAUGGUAGAAGUGCCCAUCUCAUAGGGUCCAUGUCCAGCUUGAACGUCAAACGCGUAAACUGCUGGGGACCUACAGGGUCUAUGCCUGGUCUCAGGCUUAAUUUUCUCCUCCACCUGCUCGCAGAGGGCUCACUCUGAUGCCCGCCACCAGCCCCUGCGUGUGGAACAGCUGAGCCGUGGGAAGUCGGCCCCAGGCGUGCAUGGCCACCAUGCAGUCACAGGCACAGAGACUACGACAGGGAUUGAAGCCACACAGCAGGCGGAGCUGAGGAGGGACGAAGACUCCCGCUUGGUAACUUUAGCAAGAGGUGACAAAGUGCGGGGCUGUGCCUGAGUCAGGCUGACGGCCUGCAGCUUAGCCCUGCCACUCACAAGCUCAGUGACCUGAGGCAGCUUCCUAAGUUUCUCUGUGCCUCAUGUUCUCCAUCUGUAAAAUACAGAUUAUAAUAGUGCACCGGUCCCCGUAGGGUUGCUGGAAGGAGUUAAUUUGUGUCCAGUGCUUGGAAGGGUGCCUGUAUGGAGCACCGAGAAAAUAGUUCAGGUAGUGCUGUGGGACCCUGAGUAAGUCCCUUCCCUCUCUGGGCCUCUGCUUCACCCCCUGUAAAACGAACCAUUAGGCUAGUUCAGCCGGAGGUUCCUUCCUUCCGGCUUUGACGUCCGUCAUUCUGGGGAGUGGAGGCACGGUCCCCAGAACCCUGCUCCCACUGUUUCUGCCCUCACACCCGUGAAGGCAGGGCCCCUCUUCAGCCCCGUCUACCCUUCUCCUCUCCCCUCUUCCGGAGAGACGCCAGAGGAGGGGGCAGUGUUGGCGGUGCAGGAGCAGCGAGGUGGCCCAGGCUGGGGCAGUGGGAGGGGAUAGACCCCUCCGACCAGCCCUCUUUCCAGUUCCCACUGCCCUCCGUGCCCCGGGGGUGGGCAGGCCCCUGCUCCCCUCUGACCCGGGGGGCGCCCACCGAGGCAGGGCUGGCUUGCCCUCUCCAUCAGGAGGGAGGAACCCCCAGGGGAGUGCCCUCCUUGGCUCAGCAGAGUCAGGCAGGCUUUGCCCAAGAAUGAAGACAGCGGAGACCAGGAACCGAGCCCUGACAGCUAGGGGGCCUCAGGCUGGGGGACCCCCGAUUCUCUGGGCCUGUCUUGGGGUCUGAGCACAGACUGGGCCAUGUCUCGGGCCCUCCUGGACCUGGUGACACAGAGGUCACAACCCAGGGAGGUAAGAGCUCAAAGUUCUCGACUGGAAACCCCGGACCAGGAAGCAAAUGCUACUCUCCGUCAGCCCUCCCCUGACCCUCCUCCCCGCACCUGCGGCCAUUGUUUCCAAGGAAAUCAGGCCUCAACCAGGAGGAGGGAGCCUCCCUUCCACCCUCCCCACACCCUCUGCCCUCCCCAGGGACGUUCCCAGGCCUCCCUCAGCCCCGCGCCAUUUCCUUCCCACUCCCUGGCUGGUGCCCCCAGCUGCCCCUCGGUCCAUCUUUCCAUCCAUCCAUCAAUCCCUUUAUUCCGUGCAUAGCUUUUUGCUAGACACUGCACUCGAGGCCAAGGAGGCCUAGAAAAUCUGACACAGCUUCUGUCUCUAUGAACUCCCUGCUCAGGGCGGGAGACGAGAAGCAGGACUUCUCCCAGGGCCGAUCCCAGAGCCCCCGACACUGGCAGGAUCGGGGAAGCUUCUCAGGGGAGCUGAUGCCCGUGCUGGAUUCAGUGAGUCAGCAUGAGGGCACGUGGAGAAGUCUGGAAGCAAGUCUGUCAGCCCCCGAGCGCAGGGCCUGUUGCACUCGCUGUUGGUCACUAGUGUCUGGAACAGCGUGACGUGCAACCGGUGCUCCGUGUGUGUGUUGUGUGCUUAGUCGUGUCUGACUCUGUGUGACCCCAUAGACUGCAGCCCACCAGGCCCCUCCGUCCACAGGAUUCUCCAGGCAAGAGCACUGGAGUGGGCUGCCACUUCCUGCUCUGGUGCUCAGCAGGUGUUGGAACAAGUCACAGUGUUUGGGGACAGCGUCCCACGGCUCUUGAAGCUGAAGCAGCCACUGUGCCUGUGAGCUGAAGCAUCGUGGGCGCUAGGGGACAGGACCACGUGGAGCCUCCGGGGCCCCAGAGACCCCCACACACUUGCUCUGAGGGCAGUAGGGGGCCACGGGGGCCAUAAGCGGCCCAGGGACACCCGCCUCACCCUCCGUUCCCUUCCCCAAUCUAAUCCUCUGAUCAGCCCUGUUGCAGCUGCCCUUUCUCUCAGCCAAGUCCAUAUCAUCUGGUGAUCUGUGGAAAUAAGCACAUGUUAAGCACCUACUGCAUACCAGAUGUCUUGUUGGGAGCUGGAGAUGAACAGUCCUGCCCACACAUUACCCACAGUCCAGGGCUGAGACUCUUCAUAAGUAUAGUUGAUUUAUGACGUCGUGUUAGUUUCCGGUAUACAGCAGCGUGAUUCAGUUUACAUAUAUGUGUUCUUUUUCAUAUUCUUUCCAUUAUGGCUUAUUACAGGAUAGCGGCCACAGUCCCCUGUGCUAUGCAGUAGGGCCUUGCUGUAUCUGUUUUAUACGUAGUAGUUUAGAUCUUCUAAUCCAAAACUCCUACUUUGUCCCUCCCACACCCUCUUUGGUCUUUUGUUACCGGAAAUUACCACAGAACUCACAGUUCAUGCCUGUGAGGCUGUUUCUGUUCCAUAAAUAAGGUCAUUUGCUACCUAUUGUAGAUUCUGCAUACAAGUGGUAUUAUAGGUUUAUCUUCCUCUUUCUGAUUUCCUUCACUCGGUAUGAUCAUCUCUAGGUCCAGCCAUGUCGUUGCAGAUGGCAUUAUUUCAUUCUUUCUAUGGUGAGUAAAUGGAAAAGAAAAUGGCAACACACGCCAGUAUUCUUGCCUGGUGGAUUCCAUAGACGGAGAAGCCUGGCAGGCUACAGUCCAUGGGGUUGCAAAGAGUCAGACGUGACUGAGCUCAUAGGACAGGACAUGGUGAGCAAUAUUCCACUGCGUAUACACAUCUUCUUCAUCCAUUCAUCUGUCGAUGCAUGUUUGGGUUGCUUCCGUGUCUUGGCUAUUGUAAUUAGUGCUGCAGUGAACAUAAGGGUGCAGGUGUCUUUUUGAAUUAGUUUUCUUGGCAUAUAUACCCAGGAGUGGGAUUGUUGGGUCAUAUGGCAACUCUGUUCCUAGAAGGAUGGGGCCUCUUAAUUUGGGGUUCAUGGGGAGGCUGCAGGGGGUCUGUGAGCCCCUGGAAUUGUGUGUGUAUUCUCAAGUAGAUUCUCAAGAGUGACCAGCUCCCCUCACAGGUCAAGACCCACGUGUGUAUGGAAGAAGGUUGCUUCCCCAGCAUUGUGUCUGAACUCUGCUGAGAGAGGUUAGGCCUCAGGACCUUAACCUGACCCUGACUCUGCCCAGGACCCCAGACCCUCCCAACCCUACGUCAAGUUGCUGGCCAUUCCUGGCAGCAGGCGAGGGCCCCGAGCACUUCCUGCCUGGUGGUGCGGCUGCCCGGCAGGGGUGUGCCACCCACAGUCCCAGCCCCUGGAGCAGCUUCAGCUGUAUCAGCUUAGGAUGGUUCUGGGAACUCUGCAGCUGCCACUGUAUCUGGGAAGUCACCAUGGGGGAGGGGCAGGACUCAGGUCAAGGCCUGGGCAGCAGGAUCUGAGGGUCAGAUCCACACUCAGGGGCUCCCUGAGUGCAGCAGCUGGCAAAGGGGCAUCUUUCAAGGCCGAGUCCUGCCUCAGGCUCCUCCCACCCCUCCCCCUGCGCUCUCAGAAAUGUUGUGUGUUUUUCCCUCCAUAUCCCUUUGCCCCUUUUAGCAUCUUCAUUCAUUCAUUCACUUGUUCAUUUCCUUCAUUUAUUCUUGGGCUCCCAGAAGGAGGAUCAGAGAAUGGCUGGGGAGCACCAGGCUCUUGCAUCACCAAGCUGGGCUAGAGGGGGCUCGCAGGGGGUGGGGGGAGGGGAGAAGAGGCCCGCAGAGAGCAUGGGGCUUCCCCAGACAUCAGAGGUGGGGCUCUGCAGGGAGCUGGGGGCUGAGCCCAUGGCUGUAACCCCCUGAGCUGAACUACAGAACGUGGCAGGGGUGGGGUGGGG
ensembl:lncRNA